rnacentral:rRNA from 1 species
GCAAGUCGAGCGCUAAUGAGAGAGAGGCGCAUACGGGAGUAACGAGUGGGAACCUGCCGUUUUCUGCGGGGUAACGGUUGGAAACGACCGGUAAUACCGCAUAUGCCCAACGGGGGUAAGGUCCGCUGGAAAAAGAGGGGCCCGGGUGUGAUUAGCUAGUUGGUGGGGUAAUGGCCCACCAAGGCGACGAUCCGUAGCUGGUCUGAGAGGAUGAUC